ensembl:lincRNA 4732419C18Rik RIKEN cDNA 4732419C18 gene
GAGAGGCUGAUUUGCAUAUUAAAAAGAUUGCCCAGCUGCUGGGUGAAGACUGCCUUUUAAAGGCGCAAAAAAUAGAAAUAGGAAGACCAGCUAGGGAGGGAGCGGCUCAGCAACGCAGACAGGAAAUAAUCACUGUUAUUAUCUGCAGUCCUCCAGAGGAGCUCACAGCAGNNNNNNNNNNNNNNNNNNNNNNNNNNNAAUGUAUUGGGGAGAAGGCUCCACGUGGCAGACAGUGAAGCAGAGGUCUCCUCUGCAGCUGCCCUCUCACAGGCUGCUGGGCCCCAACCCCGCAAGCAAAGCUGGCAGAAGAUGGCUGCCAACAAGCUUCACUGCAAAGAGAAUCGCCGUGAAGGCAUGUUUGGAGGCAGAGAAUAUUAUUCAAGGCAGUAAGAAUAUACAGAAGCUGGAGAGAUGGCUCAGCGGUUAAGAGCACUGACUACUCUUCCAAAGGUCCUGAGUUCAAAUCCCAGCAACUACAUGGUGGCUCACAAUCAUCUAUAAUGAGAUCUGAUGCCCUCUUCUGGGAUGUCUGAAGAAAGCUACAGUGUACUUACAUAUAAUAAAUAAAUUAAUUAAAAAAAAAAAAAGAAUAUGCAGAAGGACCAGGCAGUGGUGGCGCAUGCUUUAGUCCCAGCACUUGAGAGACAGAGGCAGGCAGAUUUUUGAGUUCGAGGCCAGCCUGGUCUACAAAGUGAGUUCCAGGAUAGCCAGGACUAUACAGAGAAACCCUGUCUCAAAAACAAAAACAAAAACAAAAAACACACCAAAAAACAAAACAAGACAAACUAAAAAAAGAAUAUGCAGAAGGACAAAGAACAUCAGAGGAGUUCCUAUAAUUGUGGGCACACCCCAUAGGCCACACCCUCCAUAGGCCACACACCCAUAGGCCACACCUCUCAGAGGACAGUCAGUAGUGCUGAGUGAAGGUGUUCAGCAAGGCUCAGCACUCUUUAGCACAGGUACACAAAAGCUGAUGUUAGGGACAUGUGAUGUCGAGUGGAAUUCCUAACUCUUAGGAGAAAGACCGGAGAGUUCUAGCCAUUAGGGAGAAAGCAAUGACCACUGCGAAGACAGCACGCUUUCCUAUUACUUAGGUUUUUUACUUCUCUCGGUAGUGCUGCUCUUUAGUUCUGUGUAUGAAUUUUGUACAUCUUGGGGCCGAAACCAUAGCAGGGUGAGCGGAAGAGUAGUAUAUUGAUCCCAAACAUGCAGCAGGAAGCAUCGAACCUUCUUUGCCUGUAGGCGAAAUGUUAUUGUGCCCUCUGUAAAGAUUAUCCUUGUAUUAUUCAAAUGCUGAUUUCUGUGCCCUCCCAUAUCUGGUUGCAAUCCUUACUCUUAGAAUUUCUUGUCUCAGUGUUGUGUAAACAUUGCUCCCCAGUUAUUCCAUGAAUGGUCAAUAAAGCUAGCUGAUCACCCCAUGGCUGAACAGGGAAGAAAAUAGGGCUGGGCUUCCUCCCAUCCAGGGAAGAGAGGAGAGAGGGAGGGAGGGAGAGAGAGAGAGAGAGGACGAGGAGGAGGUGGGGAUUUGCCACCAGGGGAGAGUCUGGAAGAUGCCAUGGAAAAACACCUGGAGCAAAGAAAGCCAUGAAAUGCUAUUAUUUCAGGGAUUUUUGGCUGGGAGGUAGCUAGCUUAGUGUAGAGGAUUAAAAUAAAGUAAUACUGCUUAGUUGUUGUGCCCUUAAAGCUUGAUACAUAAAUGUAUUAGUCCAGUCUCAAUUAUUUGGGAGCUAGCUGGGUGAAAGAAAACUGCAAAACGCUUAUUAAAACGCCAUUAACAUCGGCUCUCAGAGGGUGGAGGCGACCUUCAUGGUCUGACUGUGGAAAGAAAGAAUGACAGCCACCUUCAGAUUCAAAGCCUUUCUGGAGACCUGCAGCAGGCGGGUGCCAGCUCUAGCCACGGAAGGGGAGCCACCAAGAUUAGGACGCACGGCAAGGUUGGCUUUACUUUGGAAGUUGUCAAAGGGGAUGAACGGUAAAAUAGUCUGGACAGAGGCUAAGUGUUCUAUAAAAUACUCUUAAUUUUAAGAGGAGCCGAAGCUAGAGUUAAAAUGGAAUUUCAUCUUUUUAAAGCUAUCGUAGGGGUGGAAAGAUGACUCAGACUAUUGGGAGUUUCUGUUCUUCCAGAGUACCCAGGUUUGGUUCCCAGCACCCUUGUUGGGUGACUAACAGCUACCUAUAAUUCCAGGGCAUCUGAUGCCCACUUCUGGCCUCCAUUCACAUCACACACGCACACGCACAUGCACACACAAAAAGAGAGACUUUAAAAAUAACAGUAAACCAUUUAUUAAGUGGUAAAAGUGAUCUCUAUCAGAAGUUGAGAAUGAGACAGAUCUGUUCAGAAGUCGUAGCCUGUGAGACACACCAUCUAACAAACAUAGAAAUGUAUUAAGAGUUACUUAGGCAUCAACAAGCCACCGUGAUUCCCAAAUUUAUCCCCGCCACACACACAUGCCACAUUAAUCCGUACAUGGUCAGCUAUGGGGAUGAAUUCAUUAAAUUACCAAGGCUUCCAGGUUCUCAGUUAAGAUAGAAAAGACAGCGGUGCCCGUGCAGCAGCUUCUGUGAGACUCUCACCCAUGGUUGGAGUGCGGGUGACUUGGGUCUCCCACACCCUUUUCUGGAAAGUGAAGAAACAGCUGUGGAUCAUCGUGGAGCCUCUUGUGGAAACACGCUGGACCAAGAACCAACAUUUCCCUCUAGAGCACUGGAUGAAACAGACUGAAGUACCUCAGGCUUUGUGAUGUCCAGGUGAUGAGAGAGGCAGGCUUCCUUCCUUUUUUAGAGACUCCAAAUCUCAGUCUCAACUGGGGACUGCUCUGGACCUGCAGGAACAGGAUCUCACUGUGUAGUCCUGGCUGGCCGGGGACUUUCUAUAUAGAGCAGGCUGGCCUCAGACUCACAGUGAUCUGCUUGCUUCUGCUUCUACAGUGCUCAGAUUAAAAGCAUUCUUCACC